GGACUACACGGGUUUCUAAUCCUGUUUGCUCCCCACGCUUUCGCGUCUCAGCGUCAGUACCGUCCCAGCGAGCUGCCUUCGCCAUUGGUGUUCCUCCUGAUAUCUGCGCAUUUCACCGCUACACCAGGAAUUCCACUCGCCUCUUCCGGACUCAAGCUUGACAGUUUCCACCGGCUUUCCAGGGUUGAGCCCUGGACUUUCACAGCGGACUUACCAAGCCGCCUACACGCUCUUUACGCCCAAUGAUUCCGGACAACGCUUGCCCCCUACGUAUUACCGCGGCUGCUGGCAC
rnacentral:rRNA from 1 species